rnacentral:rRNA from 1 species
CAGCAGCCGCGGUAAUGCGAAGGGGGCUAGCGUUGCUCGGAAUUACUGGGCGUAAAGGGAGCGUAGGCGGAUCGUUUAGUCAGGGGUGAAAUCCCGGGGCUCAACCUCGGAACUGCCUUUGAUACUGGCGAUCUUGAGUAUGGGAGAGGUGUGUGGAACUCCGAGUGUAGAGGUGAAAUUCGUAGAUAUUCGGAAGAACACCAGUGGCGAAGGCGACACACUGGCCCAUUACUGACGCUGAGGCUCGAAAGCGUGGGGAGCAAACAGGAUUAGAUACCCGUGUAGUCCCUGUCUCUUAUAC